CCAAGAAGGAGGAAGCUGGAAUCUGAAAAGCAGAGGGGAAGAGAGCUGGAGUCAGCUGGUCAGUGCCACAUGAUUGGCCAGCAGCAAAGAGAGGUGAAGUCAGAUGGCCAGUGCCACAUGAUUGGCCAGCAGCAAAGCUAGGCCGUGUGAAAGAACAGCCUGAGCCCUGUCUGGAGGGAAACAAGCCAGCAAGAAAGAGGUUCUCCUCAGGGGUCCUAGAUCCAGAUUCCUUGGUGAGAGGGAACACCAAGAAGAUGGGAAAGGUCAAGGCAAAGUCUGGGUGAGGGAGAAGCUUCCAGACAGAAUGACAGGAGCAGAGCCUGCUAGGGGAGGGAAGGAGAUGGGCACGCUGCAAGAGCGACGGGAGAAAAUCGACUUCCUCUAAAAUCACGUGCUCAGCGAAUCAAGUUCAUAUGUGGCACUAAGUUUUCUGUUCCUGCCACCAUGCCUGCCGUUUGCUGUCAUGCUGUCCUCCCAGUUAUGGCCUUUCACCCUCUGGAACUGGGGCUCCAAACAAGCUCCCCCUUGGCUCCAUCUCUGGAAUGAAGUCUUGUGGCAGAGAGUCCAAAGACCAAUCAUAGAAACAACGAAGAGUCUUCUAGAAAACAGACCCCAGGGCCUGGAGCUCUUCAUUGAUGAUACUUAUGGAGAGAUUGCUGAGAUGCUGAGGGAAGCAGCCUGGGCAGAAAGAGAAGCCAAACUACUUCAGUUUCAGUGAAGGUCUGAGAGCACUGGACCCAUGAUGGGACUGAGAACCAUUCCAACAGAGGCCAGGGAGCUAGUCUUUGUGUUCCCAGAAUGACCGCUCAUGGGUAGAAAGUGUUCCUGGGGAAGGGGCACAAGCUUAUUUUCUUUUGGCUGAAAAUAAUUGAGGAAAGACUCACUCUGUGAGUCUUAACUCGGCUAUGUUCCCACUACCUGCUGGGGUGCAUAUUCCCAAAUGGAAAAGAGAUUUGGCUGCACAGUACAGCAUCUACUAUUGCUCUUACCUUGCACUAUUCAGACUUAUACACUCCAUCUAGUGGGUUUACCACCACCUAGCAACAGCUGUUCCAGAAUUCUCGUUGGUUUGAUUUGUUGUAGAAACUUUCAAGAAGACAAAAGCUAGUAGGAGGAAGCCACAGCAGGAUUGGAGAUGCAAUAUGUUCCCCCUGAACUCUUCCCUUAAUACCUAUUCUAGAUGACCCGCCUCAUCAGCUAGCAUCUCCGCUUGUGUUCUGUUGGGUGAUAAAGGCCUCUACUCCUGACAGUCAGAGCCCCUUAUGCCAUGACAUUCUCAAGUCAUGGGUACAGCAUGUCUUAUCUAAUUGAAUUGCAGAGUAUGAAAACUAUGUUAACAGAUCACUAGAAAGCCACAUUUAUAUUUUGAGUUUAUUGGACAGCAGUAGCCUGAGCUCCUCUUGAAAGAACAGUUGGUGACUUUUGCAAGUGAAGUUACAUCUUGACUCCUGGAUUCUGGACACAAUGAGCUUGAACUUAUGAGGUUUCUGUAGCUACAAAGUCUAGUGGAAACAUUAUAAUGUUGAUUCCUUUAUUGGAAUUAGGAGCCUGGGUUAGGUAGAGUCCAGGAUGGGAAACACUAAUUCCCCAAGUGGACCUCUGAGAAGAAAGGUAAACAAGAUUAUUGUGUUCAGUUUCUUAAUUCAAAAAGAAAGUCACACCUUUUUUUUUGUCUGAUGCAGUGACAAGAGGAAUCUUGUGUCAACAGAACAAAGCCAUUGGUAACAGUACUAAGACUCCCUCACUCAAGAUAGGCAUACCUGGAGUUAGAAUAAUUUUGCUUCAAGUUCAGAUGAGUUUCUAACAACUCAAGUGGUCUAGUGUAAUCAAUAUACCACCAAAUAGUUCACCAUUGGUAUCUAUUGCCUUCAUAAUAGACACAGGCAGCAGCAGUAAGUAAUCCCCAAACUCUGUGCUCAGGAAGCCAGCUGUGGCAGCCAUCUGUAGCUUUCUUCUCUGUGGCUCUGAAAACAUUGUCCAUGAACCCAUUGAAGUAGAUGUGAGGGGACAAUGACAGGAAGCUGAUGGUACUUCUUAAGAUCAUUCUAGUUACUUGGCUGUUCACUGGCUGUCCAGGGGUGGCUGCUUUCUUGGGUAUGAAAUAUGACAUAAAAAUCUCCAUACUUUGUGCCUACUAUAGGCUCACCCAUAUUCCUUUUCUAUAAACUUACUUCUUGCCAAUAUUCCAAACUUUCUCUUUUCAGGCUUGUGGUAGUUAUUCUUGGUUGUCACCUUGACUACAUCUGAAAUGAACUAUAAUCCAGGAAUGGAAGGCACACUUGUGAUCUGGAUCUUGAGGCAGGAAGCCAACAUGCCUUUGAUCUGGAUAUUGAGGCUGGAAGACACAGACUUUUACAAGGGAUGACACACCUUUACUGGAAACCUAUAUAAACAUAAUAGAAUAAGGGAGGUUUCCUUCUUUGUCUGCUUGCCUUUGCCUUGCUAGCAAUCCAUUCCUUCACUUGUGUUGCAGCCUACUUCUUCAGGAUUUUAGCAUAUGCAGAAGACCAGCUGAGACAGCCAGCUUCAUGAGACUGAGCAACUACUGGAUUCUUGGACUUUGUAUUUACAGCUAGCCAUUGAUGUAUUAGUUGAACUGCAGCCUUUAAGACAUUCCAAUAAAUCCAUAUUUUCAUUCCAUAAGUUCUAUGCCUCUAGAGAACUCUAAUACAAGGGCAUAAUCAACAACAAAGCCAUUCACUAGAACGUAAGUCACUAAAUAUGACCUCAGGUUACUAAUAGGAAUGAUAAGGUUACUACCCAUAGUCUGUCCAUUGGGGUAUUUAGGUCCACCAUUAACUCUCAGGGACCAUUCCUGGUGUCAGGCUAUAUUUCAGGAUAGUCUAUUUCCAACUUGUACCUGCAUGCUUACUAAUCCAUUUGUGAGGCAAACCUGUUUCUUUUUCUGUUUAUUAGUGAUAGGAACUUAGUAACAGAUUCUAGCACAAUAGAUGUGCAUGACAUAAUGGUAUGACCAACAUAACCACGUAUUCUACUUAUUCCCUCCUGACUUUAUGGCCAAAGGGUUCAACAACCUGGGUUCUUGUUGAGUAAUUAUGAUUGCGUGAUUCCUCCACGUCCCUGUCCAGAAAGAAGUCCCAUCAGCAGCAGCUAUUUUUCAAUGAGUGCCUACUCUCUACUGGGGACAGUGUGGGCUUAAUCCAUGAAGUUAGGGAUAUAGGUUUUGAAUGUUCUAUAAGAACUUGUCUAAAACAUGGCAAUAUGGUAUUUUUCCCACCACAGCAACCUCUAAAACAACUGAUCCUUGAUGUCCUAGAAUUCACAUAUGAGAACCAUUUGCAUCAUUUAAGUAUAUAUUAAAGUCCCUGGUCUUCUCCUACUUAAGAAACAAUGUGAUAUGAUUGGUUCAAAAGUGCUGUAUAAAUUAGCCUCAAACAACCACUGUAUGUAGGAUUGCUUACUAAAGACUUGGUUCAUCAUUUUUUUUUCUUUUUUAAAAUUUAAAUUAGAAACAAGCUUGUUUUACAUGUCAAUCCCAGUUCCCUCUCCUUCUCCUCCCCUU